AUGGUCAUCUACACUGACGAGGAGGCAUACUGGCGCUUGCGGGGUACGCAGAACUGGGUCCUCAAGGGGGACGCUAAUACUGCCUACUUCCAGGCUAUUGCAAACGCCCGUUGACGCCGUAACUCCAUCCCCCUCCUGUGGGAUGGACCGACCCUCCUUCAGCGGCCGGAGGACAUACAGGCACAUGUCGACGACUUCUACAGAGACCUAUUCUCUGCCUCCCCUCGUGGAGGUCUUGCACUAGCGCAAGAUAUCUAGCGUGCCCACUUUUGCGUCUCGCCUGCGGAUAACGCGGCCCUCACGACCCCAUUCUCAGAGGCGGAAGUGUGGGAGGCAAUUAAGGGCAUGAACCCUUCCUCUGCUCCCGGUCCGGAUGGCCUCCCAGUGAAGUUAUUCCAGACCUUCUGGGAGGUCAUCAAACCUGAGGUGAUGGCCCUAUUUGACGAGUUCCUGGUUGGGUCCAUUGACCUCGCCCGACUGAACUAUGGGGUAAUCACUCUCAUCCCUAAAGUGACGGGAGCCUCAGACAUCCGCCAUUUCGACCGCUUACGGUGA
rnacentral:rRNA from 1 species